UGUAGGUGUGUGUGUAUUUCAGUCCUUCCAGACAAAUGCAGAGAUUUUUUGUGAUUGUUGCGAGCAAAAAUCCUUGAUUAAAAAUGCAAUGGAGUAUGUGGGAUUUGUAUGCAAUUUUAUGCAACGAAAUUGCAGGAACUUGCAAAAAUUGUCUGUGUGUUUUGUCACUUAAUUACGUCACUUCAUAGCAUUCCCAUGACAACAGGGGAAAAUGGCUGCUAAACACAAAAUCUUUCAACUUUCUGCAACUAUAUGAGUUUUUGCAACAAAAAUGCAGGGAUUAUGAAAUCAUUCAAGUCUGCAAUUUAUGCGGCGAAAGUGCAGCGUAUUUGAAGAAAUGCGGUCCCCGCCUAAGUCUAAUGCAGACAUUGGUUGACUAUGCAUU